GUUUGAUCCUGGCUCAGAUUGAACGCUGGCGGAAUGCUUUACACAUGCAAGUCGAGCGGCAGCGCGGGGGCAACCCUGGCGGCGAGCGGCGAACGGGUGAGUAACAUAUCGGAACGUACCCAGUCGUGGGGGAUAACUAUCCGAAAGGAUAGCUAAUACCGCAUACGACCUGAGGGUGAAAGCGGGGGACCGUAAGGCCUCGCGCGAUUGGAGCGGCCGAUAUCGGAUUAGCUAGUUGGUGAGGUAAAGGCUCACCAAGGCGACGAUCCGUAGCUGGUCUGAGAGGACGACCAGCCACACUGGAACUGAGACACGGUCCAGACUCCUACGGGAGGCAGCAGUGGGGAAUUUUGGACAAUGGGGGCAACCCUGAUCCAGCCAUUCCGCGUGAGUGAAGAAGGCC
rnacentral:rRNA from 1 species